UUAAAGAGCAAGAGUGUCUUUCCCCUGCCCUUUGAAUUUAGGCUCAGCUAUGGACUUACUUUGUCCAAUAGAAGAGGCGGAAUUGACAGAACACCCACUCUACACCUAAGCCGUGAGAGACUGUGUGUUUCCACUUGCCUGGCAAGCCCAGUGAUUCCAAGAGGAGGAUGAGAGACUCGUGGACAGAGCUGAGCUGCCCCAUUGAGCCAGACCCACAGGCCUACAUAAUCGCACAUGGGCAAAAGGACAUAUGCACGAAGAUAAUGAUUGCAGUGCUCAUAUAACAGCAAAAAGCUGGAAGCCACCUCCAUGUCUAUCAAGAGGGGGCCAAUGAGAUGAAUGAAGAUCCAUCCAUGAGCUGAUGAUGCCUGAAGUCAUUAGGAAGACGCUGGCUCUGUGUGUACUGAUGUGAGACUGAAACCAAGACACACAGAAGCAUGUGAACCCAGCAAGGUGCAGGGUGGCGGCUCAGCAUGCUGCCAUUUGUGUGUUUGUUUAAAGAGAAACAUACAUGAAGAA